GGGAAAAACCCUUCCCUCCCUCUCUCCAGCCGCUUCCCUCUUCUCCCCUCAUCCUCUCGUCUCUCUUCUCCUCCCAGCCGCCUCCCUCUUGUCCCCUCAUCCUCUCGUUUCUCUUCUCCUCCCAGCUGCAUCCCUCUUCUCCCCUCAUCCUCUCGUCUCUCUUCUCCUCCCAGCCGCCUCUCCUCCUCCCUUUCCCGUCGCCCCCUUCCUCUCUCUUCUUCUCCAUCCAGCAGUGAGGAGGGCGAAGCCAGCUGCAGAGAAGAAACCAGCAGCGACAAGGCAACCUCCAGCCUGCGACAGCGGCGCCGCCUCGAUCAACAGCAACAGCCCUGCGCAGCAGCAAGAACGGCCGGACAGCAGCAGCAGCACCAACGAGAACCAGCAGCAACAGCUCGGCGAGAACCAGCAGCAGCUUCCAACAACUCCGGACAGCAGCCAUGCCGACGAGAACCAGCAGCAACAGCGAAGCCAGCAACCAAACUGCUCAAACAGAGCAACCACCGAUCCCCUCCCUUUUCCCCUUUAUGAUUUUUUUUUUGUUUUGUAGGCUGCCAGAGAGCUCGAAGCUCACACCAUCUGACCCGCAUCGUUGCAAUGUCGAUUCCGGCAACGAUAACACCAACUCCAGCGAAUAGCAAUACCUUCUCCAACAAAGCUCCGGCAGUUACAGUGACUUCUUCUUAUGGUCUGUCAUGUUGCUUUAUUUUCUCUUUCAAUUAAUUGUUAUUUUGCAAUUAUUCUUAUGGGUUCAUCAAAUUAUAACUAUGUUCAUAUGUUUGGAUAAUUUUGUGUUUAAAUCAUUUGCUAAAAGUUUUUGUGUGGUUGCUAUGUUCAACAUUGUUAUUUUGAUUUUAUUUUUUUAUUUUUAUUUUCACACCAUUUCUAGUAAUUUAUUAUAUUGAUUUUGGUAAAGUACUGCUAUUAUUAUUUUCUUUUAUCUAGUUGUUAUUUUAUUUUAUCUUAUUAUUAUGGUCAUUAUUUUAUUCAUAUCAUAUAAUUUUGUUGCUCUAUUUUGUUAAUUUUAUGUUUUGUUGGCUGCUAUUGUUUAUAUAGUAGUUUGGACCUUUGUUAUAUUUUAUUAUUAUUGCUUUAUUGGAUUUUGUACUGACAACUGUUUGAGAAAUUCAUUGUGAUGAACCUCAAAUGCUUUAAUUAGGUUUAUUGCUAUUGUUGUUGACUGUGGUAUUGACAUUUUAUUAUUUUCCCUCUAGUUUGAGUUCACUUUUAUUAUAAAGUUGAAGUGGGCCGAUGAAAAAUCUAUCCGUCGGGUUUAGAGGCCUUCCCAUUUUAAAAGACGGAAAAUUUUAGUUUAAGUCCAUCUAUUUUAGUUGUUAAAAUGGUUAAGUAUUAUUAUGCUUUAUUUAUAUUUUUGUAUGUUUUGUUUAUUAUUAAGUUUGAACCAUUUUUUGUUAACAUAAAUGACAUACUUUGUUUCUAUUUGUUGGCUAUUGUGUCGGCUAUAUUCUAUCAAUUUCCAUUUUUUUUCCUUCUUAGAUCUAUGCUCAAGAUGCUUAAUAUGUGUUUAUUAUAUUCCUUCUUUGGUAAUAUUAAAAAAAAUAUAUAUAUAUAGUGAGCACCCCUCAGUGACAUCUCCGUGGACACAAUUAUUUCUCAUUGUUUUAAUUUGUCUUUUCCCUAUUUCUCACUGUUAGCUUUUAUGUUUGACUACUUUUGUAGUUAUUUUCAUUAUUUUAUUUGUUUGGCAAGCUUAAGUAGUUUAUUUGUAUUUAAUUACAGUGUAGUGAUAUGUGCUUAUAUUAUUAGUUUUAUAGAUAUUAAUAUUUAUAUGUUGAAGGGGCCGAUGAAAAAUCUAUCCGUCGGGUUUAGAGGCCUCCCCAUUUUAAAAGACGGAAUUUUAAUUCAAGUUUAUAUAUUUUAUAUGUUGAAAGUGGCCAAUGAAAAAUCUAUCCGUUGGGUUUAGAGGCCUUCCUAUUUUUAAAAGACGGAAAUCUAAUUUAAAGUUUAUAUAUAAUUUUAGUUGUUGGAAUGGCCGAUGAAGAAAUUUCCAUCGAUUUCCAAGGCCUCCCAUAUUAAUAAGACGGAUUUUUAUUUUUUAGUUAUUAUUUGAGUUAUUCAUUUUUAUUUAUAUUUAUUUGGUACUAACUCUUUUACUAAGUGUCUUUACAGGUACCCGGAGGUGUAUCUCCUUGAAUCAUUCGAAAAAGCUCGAAUUAUACUAUUUCAUUAUUUUGUAAAUAUUGACGUUAGGCAAACUUUAGGCCGAUUAUUAUUUUGUUUUUAUUUUGUAUAUUGCAUGUUUAUUAUAUCUGUACAUUAUUUUAUAUUCUUCCUCAAUUUGAAAAAAAAAUGAAUUCUGUCGGGGACCACAAUUGUGGAUUCCGAAGGGUGCCUAACCCCUUCCCUUCGGAAUAACUUGAACUCCUUACCUAGAAUCAAUUUGAUUUCGUAGUUCAUUUAACGGUUUCCUAGUUUUCCUAAAAUUAGGUGGCGACUCUUUUUUAAAACUCGUUUAUUUUUAAACUUUGUUAAGAUUGAAUCAAUUAAUUAUUUUUGAGUUGCCGCGACGUUUCGCCCUAUUUCGACAGAGUAGGGAUGUAAACAGAAUGGCGACUUUGCUGGGGACUUUAGAGGUUUUAACCAAUAUGAAUUUAAUUUUUCAAAUUGAGGAAAUUUUUGCUUUAUUAUUAUGUUAUACCUUGUAUUUUAUAUUUGUUGAUUAUUUGUUUAUUGUAUUUAUUCAUUAUUUAUUUUAUUGUGUAUAUAUAUUUUUUUAUUUAUUUGCAUUCAUGGCAUCUUCCAAUAUGUAUGCAUAGUAUAUUAAAGGAUGGUUUGCGGAACCGCAACCGGAUUUUAAAAUACUCAAUCCUUUUUCGGAAUGAUUGGCAAUUUAUUGGUUCCUUAUGCAUCCAAUGGUUGUCGUGAAUUCCAGCCUAAGUUGUCCGCUUGGGUUCCCGGUCUUUCAAAAGCCACUCUUAGUCAACUAGGAUAAAGCUAAACCAAAUCCGAAUUUAAGCAUCAGCCUAAGAUGACCAACACACAAGGCGUGUUGUGCCCAUUAGAAGACCACCUUGAGUCCAAAACGACCCACGACUUUAAAGGACGUUCAUACUUAUGUGUUUAAAUUUGAAGGAUGUAUACGUUGUUUGAGAAAAUCAUUGUCUCAUAGGAUAAGGAUUAGAUUAUAGUUUGCUUAGGUUAAAGAAAGUGCUUCACCAGCUACUAGUCUAAUCGAAGAUAUUGGCACCCAGAGAUGACAACAAAUCAAGAAAGCUGAAGGAUCUUUCGUGGAGGCAUAGUUUAGGGUUGUACUCCUGCGUGGGAUUGAUUAUUUUGUAUACAUUUCCCCUAUUAUGUAUUCCCAUUAAGUUUUAUUCAUAAAAUUUGUAUAAAUUUGAGUUUUGAGGCAAUGAAAUAUUUCAAAUGACGUAUACAUCCUUCAAAUCGAUAGGCCUACCCUAGGCAUAAAAGGGUCACAUAUUUGUAUAGGACGCGCAAUAAUUGUUUGUAUACUAUGUAAUAUAUUCAGUUUGUCUUUAAUUAAAACAAUAUUUUUGUGUUUUAUUCAUUAUUUGUGUGAUAUUUUGCAUUAUUUAUUAAUUACAGGAACUAACACUUUUACAUUUUGAGUUGCUCUUCUUUACAAUGAAAAAAUAAUUUAUGUUCAAAUUCAGAAAUCAUUUUUUGUCUGAAGUCGCAAGAGACAAGAGGAUUAACGAACUUCGAGUCCUUGUAUUUCACAAGGCGCUAAUAUCAAGUCAAAACGAUAAAUUAGGGGGAGUAUUUGACUAUGAGGAAUACCGUCCCCGACAUCAGUCGGGGAUGGUCAUAACAAUGUCUGGAUCUCGUGAAAAGUGGAAGGAGACAAAGAUCCAAGAAAACAUCCAAAAAGAGUACAACAAAUCACUACUGUAGAAAUUCGUAGGGUACAUUCAACAGACAGUAUAAAUAUUGACGAUUAAGAGGCUAUAAAACAUAUUGGUUUAAAAAAAAAGCAUUUCAUGGAAACAAAUUUUAG
rnacentral:lncRNA from 1 species